AUGUGGCUAAUGGUGAUGGUGAGGUAGUAGAACAGGUAAUUGGGCAGCAAACCAAUGACCAAGAUGAGAGCAUUCUUGAUGGAAUAAUCAGGGAGCUGCAGAGAGAACAAGACCUGAGACUAAUUAAUGAAGGAGAUGUUCCACAUUUUCCAGUUAAUAGAGCAUACUCUGUUAAUGGUGCUCUGAGAAGUCCAAACAUGGACAUAUCUUCUUCCCCAAACAUGAGGCUUCGAAGACAUAGUAGUCAAAUCGAAGGUGUUAGACAAAUGCAUAACAAUGCUCCUCGGAGCCAGAUGGCCACUGAAAGAGAUCUCAUGGCAUGGAGCAGAAGAGUGGUGGUCAAUGAACUAAAUAAUGGGGUUAGUAGGGUACAGGAAGAAUGUCGAACUGCAAAAGGUGACAUAGAAAUCAGUCUUUAUACAGUUGAAAAGAAGAAAAAGCCAUCUUACACUACUCAAAGGAAUGAUUAUGAGCCUAGCUGUGGGCGUUCUUUACGCAGGACACAGCGCAAACGUCAGCAUACUUACCAAACACGGUCCAACAUAGAGCAUAAUUCACAAGCAUCAUGUCAAAACUCAGGUGUACAGGAAGACUCAGACAGCUCCUCAGAGGAAGAUGAAACUGUUGGCACAAGUGAUGCUUCAGUAGAGGAUCCUGUUGUUGAAUGGCAAAGUGAAAGUUCUUCCAGUGAUUCAUCAAGUGAAUAUUCUGAUUGGACAGCAGAUGCUGGAAUAAAUUUACAGCCCCCAAAAAGACAAACCAGACAGACAACACGUAAAAUAUGCAGCAGCUCUGAUGAGGAAAAUUUGAAGUCCCUAGAAGAAAGGCAGAAGAAACCUAAGCAGACUAGAAAGAAGAAAGGAGGACUGGUUUCUAUGGCAGGUGAGCCUAAUGAAGAAUGGUUUGCCCCUCAGUGGAUCUUGGAUACUAUACCCCGACGUUCCCCAUUUGUCCCACAAAUGGGAGAUGAGCUUAUCUAUUUUAGGCAAGGACAUGAAGCUUAUGUUCGGGCUGUAAGGAAAUCAAAAAUAUACAGUGUUAAUUUACAAAAACAGCCAUGGAACAAAAUGGAUCUCAGGGAGCAAGAGUUUGUUAAGAUUGUAGGAAUCAAAUAUGAGGUUGGCCCACCCACACUGUGCUGCUUGAAGCUUGCAUUUCUGGACCCAAUUUCAGGCAAAAUGACUGGAGAAUCUUUUUCCAUUAAGUAUCAUGACAUGCCGGAUGUCAUUGACUUCCUUGUGCUACAUCAGUUUUAUAAUGAAGCCAAAGAAAGGAACUGGCAGAUUGGUGAUAGAUUCCGCAGUAUAAUAGAUGACGCCUGGUGGUUUGGGACUGUGGAGAGUCAGCAGCCUUUUCAACCAGAGUAUCCUGAUAGUUCUUUCCAGUGUUACAGUGUUCACUGGGACAAUAAUGAGAGAGAAAAGAUGAGCCCAUGGGAUAUGGAGCCAAUUCCAGAAGGAACUGCCUUUCCAGAUGAAGUUGGUGCUGGUGUUCCUGUCUCCCAGGAAGAAUUGACUGCUUUGCUAUACAAACCCCAGGAAGGAGAGUGGGGGGCUCAUUCCAGAGAUGAAGAAUGUGAACGGGUUAUUCAGGGCAUCAACCACCUUCUUUCCCUGGAUUUUGCCAGCCCUUUUGCUGUUCCAGUGGAUCUCAGUGCCUACCCCUUGUAUUGUACUGUAGUUGCUUAUCCAACUGACCUCAAUACCAUCAGGCGGAGACUUGAAAAUCGCUUUUACAGGAGAAUAUCAGCAUUAAUGUGGGAGGUACGCUAUAUUGAGCAUAAUGCCAGGACUUUCAAUGAGCCAGACAGUCCUAUAGUUAAAGCAGCUAAAAUUGUAACUGAUGUCUUACUUCGAUUUAUUGGGGAUCAGAGCUGUACUGAUAUACUGGAUACUUAUAAUAAAAUUAAAGCAGAAGAACGAAACAGCACUGAUGCAGAGGAGGAUACAGAAAUGGUUGAUUUAGAUUCAGACGGUCCUGGUACUUCAUCUGGAAGAAGGGUCAAAUGCCGAGGCAGAAGACAGUCUUUAAAGUGUAAUCCUGAUGCUUGGAAAAAACAAUGCAAGGAACUAUUGAGCCUCAUUUAUGAACGUGAAGACUCAGAGCCAUUUCGACAGCCAGCCGAUCUUCUUUCUUACCCAGGUCAUCAGGAGCAAGAGGGAGAAUCCUCAGAGUCUGUUGUUCCAGAAAGACAACAAGAUUCAUCUCUUUCUGAGGAUUAUCAAGAUGUUAUAGAUACUCCUGUGGACUUCAGCACUGUGAAAGAAACUUUGGAAGCAGGAAACUAUGAUCUAUAGCAUGAUGCUGCGAUUAUCUGCCUUAUUUGAAAGUCAUAUCAAAAAUAUCAUCUCUGAAUAUAAGUCAGCAAUCCAGAGUCAGAAGAGGAGAAGGCCACGGUACAGAAAACGUCUAAGAAGCAGCAGCAGUUCAUUAUCUAGUAGUGGAGCACCUAGCCCAAAAGGGAAGCAGAAACAAAUGAAGUUGCAGCCUAAAAAUGACCAGAAUACCUCAGUAUCUUAUGCCAGGACUAGCUCUCCUUUCUCAUCUCCUGUUUCAGAUGCUGCUGAAGGGCUUUCACUAUAUCUACUUGAUGAUGAGCCAGAUGGGCCAUUUUCUUCAUCGACCUUCGGUGGAUAUAGCCGAAGUGGAAAUAGCCAUGACCCAGGGAAAGCCAAAUCAUUUCGGAAUAGAGUUUUGCCAGUUAAACAAGAUCACUCCCUUGAUGGACCCAUUACAAAUGGUGAUGGCAGAGAGCCCCGGACAGGAAUCAAGAGAAAACUACUUAGUGCAUCAGAAGAAGAUGAAAACAUGGGAGGAGAAGAUAAAGAG
rnacentral:sRNA from 1 species